CUUCACCAACCUCUAAAAAAGGAGGUACUAGAAUAGUGACAUUGUUGUCCAGCAGGGCCUUUUUAUACCGAGGUGUAGCUGAAAGCCCCUUCACAUGAGGUGGUGUCUCCUUUAUGGUGCAAGUAACAUGUUUUGGAAUUGACCCAGACAAAGGUCUUUCAUCAUAUAACUGCAAUGUAACCUUCAUUUCCUCUUUCAGAUAUGCAGCAGCCUCACCAAACAACUCUGUUGGCACUUCAAGUUGCUCAAAUUUUUCAGGGUCCAUUAGAUAUGCUGUUCCAUGUUCU
rnacentral:misc_RNA from 1 species